UAGAGUGUGGAGGUGGCAGGUAGCCUAGUGGUUAGAGUGUAGAGGAGGCAGGUAGCCUAGUGGUUAGAGUGUAGAGGAGGCAGGUAGCCUAGUGGUUAGAGUGUAGAGGAGGCAGGUAGCCUAGUGGUUAGAGUGUAGAGGUGGCAGGGUAGCCUAGUGGUUAGAGUGUAGAGGUGGCAGGUAGCCUAGUGGUUAGAGUGUAGAGGUGGCAGGUAGCCUAGUGGUUAGAGUGUAGAGGUGGCAGGUAGCCUAGUGGUUAGAGUGUAGAGGUGGCAGGUAGCCUAGUGGUUAGAGUGUAGAGGAGGCAGGUAGCCUAGUGGUUAGAGUGUAGAGGCGGCAGGUAGCCUAGUGGUUAGAGUGUAGAGGAGGCAGGUAGUCUAGUGGUUAGAGUGUAGAGGAGGCAGGUAGCCUAGUGGUUAGAGUGUAGAGGUGGCAGGUAGCCUAGUGGUUAGAGUGUAGAGGUGGCAGGUAGCCUAGUGGUUAGAGUGUAGAGGUGGCAGGUAGCCUAGUGGUUAGAGUGUAGAGGAGGCAGGGUAGCCUAGUGGUUAGAGUGUAGAGGAGGCAGGUAGCCUAGUGGUUAGAGUGUAGAGGAGGCAGGUAGCCUAGUGGUUAGAGUGUAGAGGAGGCAGGUAGCCUAGUGGUUAGAGUGUAGAGGUGGCAGGUAGCCUAGUGGUUAGAGUGUAGAGGUGGCAGGUAGCCUAGUGGUUAGAGUGUAGAGGAGGCAGGUAGCCUAGUGGUUAGAGUGUAGAGGUGGCAGGUAGCCUAGUGGUUAGAGUGUAGAGGAGGCAGGUAGCCUAGUGGUUAGAGUGUAGAGGUGGCAGGUAGCCUAGUGGUUAGAGUGUAGAGGUGGCAGGGUAGCCUAGUGGUUAGAGUGUAGAGGAGGCAGGUAGCCUAGUGGUUAGAGUGUAGAGGAGGCAGGUAGCCUAGUGGUUAGAGUGUAGAGGUGGCAGGUAGCCUAGUGGUUAGAGUGUAGAGGAGGCAGGUAGCCUAGUGGUUAGAGUGUAGAGGUGGCAGGUAGCCUAGUGGUUAGAGUGUAGAGGAGGCAGGUAGCCUAGUGGU